UCGAGGUUGCUGAUAUGGGUAGGCGCUGUGCUUCCAUAAAAUUAUUCAUAUUAAUAUUUAUUAUAAUGAGUGAUGUGAAGGCGAAGUACAGAAAACCUAUGAUAAAUUAUCCUAAGGACACAUUAUUUUGGGCGACCGAUUUCUUCGUUAAGGGUUGCAAGAAUUUUAUACAAAAUUGUCCAGGGUCAUACAAAAAUCAAGAAAUAUGCGCGCGCAGCUACAACGGUGGUUAUAAAAAUUUUGCAAACUAUUGCGAAAUGCAAUAUGAAAACUGUCAUACAUGGAGAAAUUGGCGUGUUUUUAAGAGAAAUCGAUGCUAAUUUGAAAACAUAUAAAUAUUGUUGAAGAUUUGGGAGUA